GUCUCUUUGAUUGUUGUGUAUAUAAAGAGUUUGACCUGCCCAGUGAUAUAAUUCUUUCAACGGCCGCAGUAUUUUAACUGUGCAAAGGUAGCAUAAUAACUUGCCUUAUAAUUUAUGGCUAGUAUGAAUGGUUUGACGAGAGCAUUUCUGUCUCAAAUAUACUUUUUAUAAUUUAUCUUUUAGGUUAAAAGACUUAAAUAAAACUAAAGGACGAGAAGACCCUAUCGAGCUUUAAAGAACUUUUAAGAAAAAAAUAUUAUUAAAAUUUAUUUCUAAAAAAAUUUUUGGUUGGGGCGACCUAGGAACAAGUAAAACUUCCUCAAUACACAGUUAAUAAAUAUAAAGAUCCAAUAUAUAUUAUUGAUAAAUAAAAUUAGUUACCGUAGGGAUAACAGCGUUAUUUUUUUGGAAAGGCCAUAUUAAAAAAAAAGUUUGCGACCUCGAUGUUGGAUUGAGAUAACUUAAAGGUGCAGAAGCUUUUAUAAGUUAGUCUGUUCGACUAUAAAAAUCUCACAU
rnacentral:rRNA from 1 species